AGGGAAGCGAGCCCGCGAGGGGGAGCGAAUCCCAAAAAUAACGUCCCAGUUCGGAUUGUAGUCUGCAACCCGACUACAUGAAGCUGGAAUCGCUAGUAAUCGCGGAUCAGAAUGCCGCGGUGAAUACGUUCCCGGGUCUUGUACACACCGCCCGUCACACCAUGGGAGUCGGAAAUGCCCGAAGUCGGUAGUCUAACCGCAAGGAGGACGCCGCCGAAGGUGGGGUUGAUGAUUAGGGUUAAGUCGUAACAAGGUAUC
rnacentral:rRNA from 1 species